rnacentral:rRNA from 1 species
ACUACAUGUACAGGAUAGGUGGGAGGCUUUGAAACCAGGACGCCAGUUUUGGCGGAGCCAUCCUUGGGAUACCACCCUUGUAGUACUGGGACUCUAACCAUAGGCCAUGAAUCUGGUCUUGGGACACUGUCAGGUGGGCAGUUUGACUGGGGCGGUCGCCUCCCAAAAGGUAACGGAGGCGCUCAAAGGUUCGCUCAGUACGGUCGGAAAUCGUACGUAGAGGGUAAAGGCAAAAGAGAGCUUGAUUGCAAGACAUACAGGGCGAGCAAGGAUGAAAAUCGGACUUAGUGAUCCGGUGGUUCUGCGUGGAAGGGCCAUCGCUCAACGGAUAAAAGCUACCC